rnacentral:rRNA from 1 species
AGUGAACGCUGGCGGUAGGCCUAACACAUGCAAGUCGAACGGCAGCACAGCAAGAGCUUGCUCUUACGGGUGGCGAGUGGCGGACGGGUGAGGAAUACAUCGGAAUCUACUUUUUCGUGGGGGAUAACGUAGGGAAACUUACGCUAAUACCGCAUACGACCUACGGGUGAAAGCAGGGGAUCUUCGGACCUUGCGCGAUUGAAUGAGCCGAUGUCGGAUUAGCUAGUUGGCGGGGUAAAGGCCCACCAAGGCGACGAUCCGUAGCUGGUCUGAGAGGAUGAUCAGCCACACUGGAACUGAGAAACGGUCCAGACUCCUACGGGAGGCAGCAGGGGGGAAUAUGGGAAAAUGGGGGAAAGCCUGACCCAGCCAUACCGGGGGGGUGAAGAAGGCCUUCGGGUUGUAAAGCCCUUUUGUUGGGAAAGAAAAGCAGCAGGUUAAACCCCCGCUGUUCUGACGGUACCCAAAGAAUAAGCACCGGUUAACUCCGG